rnacentral:lncRNA from 10 species
AAUACAAAUCUACUGGUGCUGAAAACUCAGAGCUUAGGAAACACAGCCUAGCUACCUGUAGAGUAUCAACUUAAAAAUUAUAAUGCCAUUUCUAUGAAGUCAUUACUUUUAUAGGACUAGCCUGUGUCAUAUGUGUGAUCAAUAUUGGUUUAAUGCAGAAACAAAGGCAGCUGGGUGUCCAAGCAAGCCACUUUUCUGGGUCAGGGUUUCAGUGGUACCAUAGAUGGCUGCCAGUCUCAAUGUACACUUUGGCCCAUUUAUCUUUAUAAAUCAUACCAUAUAGCUUCGA